UAUCUGGUUGAUCCUGCCAGUAGUUAUAUGCUUGUCUCAAAGAUUAAGCCAUGCAUGUCUUAGUAUAAGCUUUUAUACGGUUAAACUGCGAAUGGCUCAUUAAAACAGUUAUCGUUUUCAUGACUUUUAUUUAUUAUUUGGAUAACUAUGGUAAUUCUAGAGCUAAUACAUGCGUACAAACCUGACUUUUAGGAAAGGCUGUGCUUAUUAGAUACAGAACCGACCCAGGUUUCCCUGGUUUUGUGUUGAUUCAUGAUGCCCAAACAGAUUGCACGUUUACACGGCAACGCGUUAUUCAAGUUUCUGACCUAUCAGCUUCCGACGGUAGGGUAUUGGCCUACCGUGGCUUUGACGGGUAACGGAGAAUUAGGGUCGAUUCCGGAGAGGGAGCCUGAGAAACGGCUACCACAUCUAAGGAAGGCAGCAGGCGCCCAAAUUACCCUAUCCUGACAUGGGGAGGUAGUGACAAGAAAUACCAGUACCGAGAAUUCCGAUUUCGUAAUUGGGAUGAGAAGAACUUAAAACUAUUUUCGAGUAUCAAUUGGAGGGCAAGUCUGGUGGCAGCAGCCGCGGUAAUUCCAGCUUCCAUAGCGUAUAUUAAAGUUGGUGCGGUAAAACGCUCGUAGUGGAGUCUUGCAAAAGUGGCCGGCUACCCUCCGUGGUUGCACAGGCA
rnacentral:rRNA from 1 species